rnacentral:rRNA from 1 species
AGUGAACGCUGGCGGUAGGCCUAACACAUGCAAGUCGAACGGCAGCACAGUAAGAGCUUGCUCUUACGGGUGGCGAGUGGCGGACGGGUGAGGAAUACAUCGGAAUCUACUUUUUCGUGGGGGAUUACGUAGGGAAACUUACGCUAAUACCUCAUACGACCUACGGGUGAAAUCAGGGGAUCUUCGGACCUUGCGCGAUUGAAUGAGCCGAUGUCGGAUUAGCUAGUUGGCGGGGUAAAGGCCCACCAAGGCGACGAUCCGUAGCUGGUCUGAGAGGAUGAUCAGCCACACUGGAACUGAGACACGGUCCAGACUCCUACGGGAGGCAGCAGUGGGGAAUAUUGGACAAUGGGCGCAAGCCUGAUCCAGCAAUGCCGCGUGAGUGAAGAAGGCCUUCGGGUUGUAAAGCCCUUUUGUUGGGAAAGAAAAGCAGCAGGUUAAUACCCCGCUGUUCUGACGGUACCCAAAGAAUAAGCACCGGCUAACUUCGUG